rnacentral:rRNA from 1 species
UACAUAGGGGGCAAGCGUUGUCCGGAUUUACUGGGCGUAAAGAGCGCGCAGGCGGUCGAUCAAGUCGAGUGUGAAAGCCCCCCGGGCUCAACUGGGGAGGGUCAUUCGAUACUGAUCGACUCGAAGGCAGGAGAGGGUAGUGGAAUUCCCGGUGUAGUGGUGAAAUGCGUAGAUAUCGGGAGGAACACCAGUGGCGAAGGCGACUACCUGGCCUGUUCUUGACGCUGAGGCGCGAAAGCUAGGGGAGCAAACGGGG